rnacentral:rRNA from 1 species
AACGAAUGCUGGCGGCAGGCUUAACACAUGCAAGUCGAACGCCCCGCAAGGGGAGUGGCAGACGGGUGAGUAACGCGUGGGAAUCUACCUAGUUCUACGGAACAACACAGGGAAACUUGUGCUAAUACCGUAUACGCCCUACGGGGAAAGAUUUAUCGGAAUUAGAUGAGCCCGCGUAAGAUUAGCUAGUUGGUGGGGUA